CUUUCAACAUUGCAAAUUCGAGCAGCGAAGCCGACUGCCCAGACCCAUUUGCAAAUGGUGCUGAUGUCCAAGUCAGCAACAUAGACUACAGAUUAUCCCGGAAGGAGCUGCAGCAGCUCCUGCAGGAAGCAUUUGCCAGGCAUGGCAAGGUGAAGAGUGUUGAGCUCAGCCCCCAUACAGAUUAUCAACUCAAGGCUGUUGUGCAAAUGGAAAACUUACAAGAUGCGAUCGGUGCAGUGAAUAGCCUCCACAGAUACAAAAUUGGCAGCAAAAAGAUCCUGGUCUCACUUGCCACCGGGGCUGCCAGCAAAUCACUCUCUUUACUGAGGUAAGAAACAAGCAAGCUGUUUAUUUCAGGAAAUAACAUUUGACCCAGAAACAAUUUUAGAAAUAAUAAAAAUAGAUUCAAUCACAUUCCCACCCCCUUGUGAUGAUUGCAUGUGGAAUAAUGCUUAUUCUAGAUUGAUACAGUUAGAAACAAGCCAUUUGACUCUUGUCUAAGUCAUUAAUCAAAGCUGGAAUACAGCUUAAACUUGACAGGCACUUGGGAGUAAAAUAAUACGCAACA
rnacentral:misc_RNA from 1 species